rnacentral:misc_RNA from 1 species
GAUGAAGAACGCAGCGAAAUGCGAUAAGUAAUGUGAAUUGCAGAAUUCCGUGAAUCAUCGAAUCUUUGAACGCACAUUGCGCCCUCUGGUAUUCCGGGGGGCAUGCCUGUCCGAGCGUCAUUUGCAACCCUCAAGCCCGGCUUGUGUGAUGGGCGCCGUCCCCUACGGGACGCGCCCCGAAGGCAAUGGCGGCGUCGCGGUUAUCCGAUCAGCCAAAGUGUAUGGGGCUUUGUCACUCACUUUACGGCCCGGACCGGCGCCAGUCCGAAUCAAUCUUUUUUCUAAAGUUGACCUCGGAUCAGGUAGGGAUACCCGCUGAACUUAAGCAUAUCAAUAAGCGGAGGA